rnacentral:lncRNA from 1 species
UUUUUUUUUUUUUUUUUUUCCUAAGAGAAGGACAACGUACUAUUCGUUUUAUCACUACAAAAAAAAUGAUCUAUAGCAACACUUUUAAAUAUCAGUACAGGUCAAAAAAAUACUUUUAAAAGAUAUUGCUAUAUGUGGGAUCGUUAGAUAUAUAGUGACAGUUAAAGAGUAUCGCUAUAAUCUAAAAAGAGUGCUGUUAAUUUACUAAUACUUAUUUAAGCAUUUAGCAACCGCCGGAACUCUACCUCGUUGGCUGUCGUGGCGGAGGAGGACGAGAGGGAAGUGCUCUUCGUCUAGAAUUUCAAUAGAUUGAGUGAGAGGAGAAGGGGAGAUAGUAAUUGAUUUUUUUCUUUUUUUCUUUUUUGUUUGUAAUUGGGCUGAAUGGGCUGAGUGGGGUGGGUUGAGUAGAAUAAUCUUUUAUUUUUGAUUAGAUUGAACUUUAUAUUUAGGCAUUAAUAGAUUUUUUAAAAAGUUUUGACAUAAAUGGGAUACUUACACAAAAGUGUCCCAAACAUGUGUCCCUAUUAUCUAAUUCUGUUAUAGUGUAUUUAUUUAUUUCUUGAAACAAACUUAAUUGAAAAUAUAAGACAAUUGGCCUUCGAACUUAAAAUCUCACAUACCAAGUAUUAAUUCUUUGUCACCUGAACAUUUUCUUUCAAU